CUUAUCAUGGUGUCAUAGAACUUAUUACUUCACCAUUUAUUCUUUUCCCUUUCUUACUUAUUCUUACAUUAUUAGUACUUUAUCUGUGUCUGGCUAUUCUCAUACAUCUGUUGUAGCAACAUGCUAUAGUUCGCGAAUACCAGCACGAAUUAAGUUUAUGUAGUUUCUAUAAUAUUCUAGUCAAUACACUUUAGGUAUUUAUCUUACCUUUGAUUUAGUUUGGUUACAUCUCUGUUACUUAGUCUGUUAGUAAUUUAUUCUGACUUAUUUUGAUUACUUAGUUUGGAUAGGUUCAUAUUACCGGAUGAGGGUGUAUGUAGACCUAAUUUAUUUAUUUUGUUCAGUAUUAGUUACCAUUGGAUCCAAUAAUUUAGUUUAUUUAGUAUUAGUAAGAAUUGGUCUAUAAAUUUGCCUGAUCGUUCUUCUUUGGGUAUACUCCUAUAUAAAUCUGGUGUCCAUUGAUAGUCCGAUUCUGGAUAAGUGUCCGAUUCUUCAUUUAUUUUGUGUAUUUAGUUGGAUAGGUUCGUAUUACCGGAUGUGGGUGUACGUAGACCUGAUCUGUUUAUGUGGUUUAGUAUUGGUGUGAAUUGGUCCAUAAAUCUUCCUGGUCGUUCUUCUUUGGAUAUGCCUUUUAUGAAUCUGGUGUCCACUGAUAGUCCGACUUUGGAUUAAGUGUCCGAUUCCACAUUUAUUUUGGUUAUUGAGUUUUGGAUUCCUUUGGUAUGUUCAGUAUUGGUAUUAUUUGGCAUUAGUGAGAAUUGUUCCAUAAAUCUUCCUGAUUGUUCUUCUCUGGAUAUACUAUUAUGAAUCUGGUGUCCAUUGUUAGUUCAGUUUUGGAUAAAGUGUUCAAUUCUUUACUUAUUUUAGUUACUGAUUUUUUUAUUCACUUUGAUAUAUUUUCUUGUGAUAUGGUUCGAAUUGGCUCACACCUUUUCCUGGUUGUUCCGUCCUUGGAUAUAUCCUUUAUAAAUCUGAUGUCCAUGGAUAGUUCAAUUUUGGUUUUAGUGCUCAAUUCGACACUUAGCAUUAUUAUGAACUUUACUGCAAUAUUUAGUUUUGUUUGACUUUUAAGCAAUAAUGUGUUAAUAUUUGGUAGCAGAGAGUAACAUAGUAACAUUUUAGUAUGAGUUUGAGUCAUGUAUUGAUUUAUUUUUCCUUGACCAUUAGUUUAUGCUCCUUGGUAAUCUUGCGAAUCAACGUGGAUUGUUAGACUAUUGUAAAUUUAGUUGUUAAUAUUUUAAGUUAGAAAAAAAAAAUUUUUUUGUUUAAAAAUAAAUUUUUUUCCCGAGUAGGAGGGGAUUGUAACGGUCCACCCGUUAUAAUAUCAUUUUUAGCGCUUUAAUUAUUUUUAAAAUUAUUUUCUUUUGACCUCCCAUUUAAAUUCUUUAAUUUCUCGUAAAGGACUUCUCAUGUGACGUCACACUGUACGGAACAUAGUUGAACCGUUCCUUGUCAUUUAAUUCGUGUUCCGUGAGAGUUUGACGUCUUCCUCGCUGAAUGAGAGAGUAAUGCUCUUGACUUGACUGUGAGCUGUGGUUCGAAUCGGUUAUACCAAUGGCGGGUUGAUAAUUUCAACUAUUUAAAUCAUUUUUGUUAAUUUCCAAGUGAAAAGUUAUCUGGAGCCUGGAGUAUGGAAACAUAUGUGUAACUCAACACCUCAUGGAAUCUGGAUAAGAAUCAACCCGCCAUUUGGGAGAAACCAUAAGAUGAAGUCAUAGCCCCUUCUUUGACCACCUAGGGAAACCACCACAGCCACAGUCAAGUCAACAUGGGGAGUAAGUCAUUUUUGGGAACAAGCUUUUUGGGAGUAUUCCAGCUCCUUUUCGUCCUGCCACCUGGGCCUACGGAGGGCAUGGGACCGCAUCAUCUUGAUGCUCAUUUCUGAGGAUGCAGCAGCAACCUCUUUAGGAGUCGUUUGGGAACAUUUAGUGUUGUGUUUUAAGUAACUAUGGUUUUUAUAUAUCAGACAUUUAUUUGAUACAUUAUGUUUAUUAAUUAUUUUUUUUUCAGAUUUAGCGUACCUUUGUUUUUAUAUGACAUAUUUGUAUACUAUGGUAUUUGGUUCCCAAACUUUGUAUCUACGGUAACUUCUUGUGCACAGGAAUAAGCCUAGAGAAAAUUAGGUUUUUAAUACUUUAUUAUUGGUUUAUGUAAUUCGGGUAAAUUUAUUUUUUAAUAUUACUAGCUUGUUUCCCAAAUAUUUUACUAUUAUUCGCUUUAUUCCAUUUGUUCGGUUAAUUUAGGUCAUCGUCGGUAUUUAUCUCAACUUCAUUUCUACUUUAGUCAAUUGUAUAUUUAACUUUAUUUAUUCAUUAUUGUAUUUUCCCUUAGUGAGGCUUGGGCCUAAUUAUUUGUAGUAUUUUCAUCUUUGUCAGUUUCCUUUAGUUGUACGUAGCAGGUGUACUAUAACCAUUUGGUAGAAGACUUAUGUAAUUUUGUACCCUAUAUGUUAGUGAGAGGUACUUAUACCUGUAAUUUUGUAACAGAUAACAUUAUUGUUGUUAUCUUAGAGAUAACUUUUUGUAUAACUUAUGUCAUUUUAGAGUCACAUGAUAUACACUUUGUGUAACUCAGAGAUUGUCAAAAAUCUAGUAGUUAUUUUUAAUAAAUAUGUAUUUAUUUUGUA